CCUACGGGUGGCAGCAGUGGGGAAUAUUAGACAAUGGGCGAAAGCCUGAUCCAGCCAUGCCGCGUGUGUGAAGAAGGCCUUCGGGUUGUAAAGCACUUUCAGUGGGGAAGAAAGCCUUGGGGCUAAUACCCUCGAGGAAGGACAUCACCCACAGAAGAAGCACCGGCUAACUCCGUGCCAGCAGCCGCGGUAAUACGGAGGGUGCGAGCGUUAAUCGGAAUUACUGGGCGUAAAGCGCGCGUAGGCGGUCUGAUAAGCCGGUUGUGAAAGCCCCGGGCUCAACCUGGGAACGGCAUCCGGAACUGUCAGGCUAGAGUGCAGGAGAGGAAGGUAGAAUUCCCGGUGUAGCGGUGAAAUGCGUAGAGAUCGGGAGGAAUACCAGUGGCGAAGGCGGCCUUCUGGACUGACACUGACGCUGAGGUGCGAAAGCGUGGGUAGCAAACAGGAUUAGAUACCCUAGUAGUC
rnacentral:rRNA from 1 species